rnacentral:lncRNA from 1 species
GGCCGAGUGCAUCUGUUGGACCGUGCGAGGAGAAGAAAAAAAAUAUCGGCCAGAGGAGAGGAACUAACCGAACAUUCUUCCUCCCUACCUUAUAGAGGGGAGUGGUCAUCUACACUAAAGCAAAGUGUUAGGCGCGUCCGUGCGAAGAGACCACCAAACAGGCUUUGUGUUCCUUAUCACAGGAAGAAAAUUUUCCUUGACCUUUAGGUGCUUUUAUAUUCAUCUCAAAAACAAAAUUCUGAACUCAGGACUUGGCAAUCUCACUCUGUCGCCCAGGCUGGAGUGAAGCAAUGUGAUCUCAGCUCACUGCAACCUCCACCUCCCGAGUAGCUGGGAUUACAGACAUGCACCACCACCCUCAGCUAAUUUUUGUAUUUUUAGUAGAGACGGGGUUUCGCCAUGUUGGCCAGGCUGGUCUUUAACUCCUGGCCUUACGUGAUCCGCCCCCCCUUAGCCUUCCAAAGUGCUGGGAUUACAGGUGUGAGCCACUGCACCUGGCCUGUAGUAGCUUAAAAUUUUCCUUGAGAAAAUUCCUGACUUUAAAAAUAACCCUUAUAUAAGUACAAGUGAUUGUGACAAAUGACGUAAAAAUGGCAUUCAUGAUGUCUGAAACAAGCCUAAAUAGAAUUCAAGAUUAGACUAAAUGAUUUUCACAAAGCACAUUCAAGGUUUUACAUUCUAUGAUUGAAAAAAAUUUUUUGAAAACUUUUUAUUUCAUUCUUUCCUGUAGGAUUUUGCUACAAAUAACUUUGGGAAUGAAUAAAGUGGAAUGGUAACUUUCCAGUGGUUCAGAAUUGAAUUAGACUUCUUGUGACUGUGAUGUUUGGUUUCCAUUGAAAUAUAUGAAGUGAGAUGUCAUAUCCUGAAUAUAGUUUGUCUUCCCCAAUUACUUGAUAGCAUGUCUGUCAGCCAGUAAAGAUUAAGAACAGAGUUUCUCUAAAUUCCUCCGAUUAUUCCACUAAGGCACAUUAAAAUACUUAAUUUUGGGAAACCAGACAUCACAGAUUUCUCCAUGAAGUCCUAAAUCUUCUUUAAAGUCAGAAUAGGUAUCUUAGUUACUGACAGUAUUCAGGUUUUUUUCUCCCUUGGUGAUAUGUCAUUCCAUCAGUGAAAAAAUAUUUUCUCCCAGGGAUAAGAAAGGUAUUCUGGUAAUACAUUAUCAUCAAUCCUUAAACAGUAACAGUCUUGGCACUUAUCACAAAACCGACCCAUUUCUUAUAACCAGAAAGAUUAUCUUAGACUGUCCUUCACAUUAUACUUUACCUACUGCCUUGUAAGAAUAAGAGUUGCUCACUGUGUUUACUUGCUGUCCUCCAUAUUCUCCAUUGCACCAUUGGUGUAUAACGUUAAGAGUUUCAUUGAAUAUUAUUUUAAGUAUUACAAAAGGCAGCUUGCUUCUUAAUCUAUGCAUCUUUGGGGUUUUUGAAGAAAUUUAAUUCUUUGAUGUAAAAAGGAACUGUUAAAAAAGUUGGAAGCUCUGCACCUGUGUAUAUAUAUAUUUUAGCAAUAAAGCAGCA